UACGGAGGGUGCAAGCGUUAUCCGGAUUCACUGGGUUUAAAGGGUGCGUAGGUGGGUUGAUAAGUCAGUGGUGAAAUCCCCGAGCUUAACUUGGGAACUGCCAUUGAUACUAUUGAUCUUGAAUACCGUGGAGGUCAGCGGAAUAUGUCAUGUAGCGGUGAAAUGCUUAGAUAUGUCACAGAACACCAAUUGCGAAGGCAGCUUACUAAGGUGCAAUUGACGCUGAGGCACGAAAGCGUGGGAUCAAACAG
rnacentral:rRNA from 1 species